GCGGAUAUGGCGGAAUUGGCAGACGCGCCAGGUUUAGGUCCUGGUAAACUUUGUUUGUGGGGGUUCAAGUCCCUCUAUCCGCA
rfam:Wolbachia pipientis strain wPpe Wolbachia_wPpe_contig3, whole genome shotgun sequence.